rnacentral:rRNA from 1 species
UGGGGAAUAUUGGACAAUGGGCGCAAGCCUGAUCCAGCCAUGCCGCGUGGGUGAAGAAGGCCUUCGGGUUGUAAAGCCCUUUUGUUGGGGAAGAAAUCGUACGGGUGAAUAUCCCGUGCGGAUGACGGUACCCAAAGAAUAAGCACCGGCUAACUUCGUGCCAGCAGCCGCGGUAAUACGAAGGGUGCAAGCGUUACUCGGAAUUACUGGGCGUAAAGCGUGCGUAGGCGGUUCGUUAAGUCUGUCGUGAAAGCCCUGGGCUCAACCUGGGAAUUGCGAUGGAUACUGGCGAGCUAGAGUGCGGUAGAGGAUGGUGGAAUUCCCGGUGUAACGGUGAAAUGCGUAGAGAUCGGGAGGAACACCCGUGGCGAAGGCGGCCAUCUGGACCAGCACUGACGCUGAGGCACGAAAGCGUGGGGAGCAAACAGG